GAGCCGAAAGGCAGGCGUCUAGGCUGUGGUUCAUGACUGGGGUGAAGUCGUAACAAGGUAACUGUACCGGAAGGUGCGGUUGGAUCACCUCCUUU
rnacentral:rRNA from 1 species